CCUACGGGAGGCAGCAGUGGGGGAUAUUGCACAAUGGGGGAAACCCUGAUGCAGCGACGCCGCGUGAGUGAAGAAGUAAUUCGUUACGUAAAGCUCUAUCAGCAGGGAAGAAAAUGACGGUACCUGACUAAGAAGCCCCGGCUAACUACGUGCCAGCAGCCGCGGUAAUACGUAGGGGGCAAGCGUUAUCCGGAAUUACUGGGUGUAAAGGGAGCGCAGACGGCAGUGCAAGUCUGGAGUGAAAGCCCGUGGCUUAACCACGGGACUGCUCUGGAAACUGUGCAGCUAGAGUGCAGGAGAGGCAGGCGGAAUUCCUAGUGUAGCGGUGAAAUGCGUAGAUAUUAGGAGGAACACCGGUGGCGAAGGCGGCCUGCUGGACUGUAACUGACGUUGAGGCUCGAAAGCGUGGGGAGCAAACAGGAUUAGAUACC
rnacentral:rRNA from 1 species